rnacentral:rRNA from 1 species
CACGUAGGGUGCGAGCGUUGUCCGGAAGUAUUGGGCGUAAAGAGCUCGUAGGCGGUGUGUCGCGUCGGCCGUGAAAACCUGCAGCUUAACUGUGGGCUUGCGGUCGAUACGGGCAUCACUGGAGUUCGGCAGGGGAGACUGGAAUUCCUGGUGUAGCGGUGAAAUGCGCAGAUAUCAGGAGGAACACCGGUGGCGAAGGCGGGUCUCUGGGCCGAUACUGACGCUGAGGAGCGAAAGCGUGGGGAGCGAACAGG